CCAACCCCGAGAUUGCUGAGGGUGAUGCUGAGGCCAUGAGGAGGUCCUGGGAAAGGCUUCGCCCCUGGAGCGUAAGAAAUUAUCACGUCUCCCGGACCCCUUGCCUUUUCAGGCCACCAAGGGUGCAGCUCCCAGGUUCAUGGGGACCUGAACCUGUCCCGAGUGGGGAAGACCGCCUCAGGCACCGCCCUGUUGGUUCAUCCGGGUAUUCCAGAAUCGCCUUCUGUUUUGUCAAAAGUUAGGAUCAUCAACUGCUGUGGCUGACUGGGAGGUAGCCUGGGGGGAAGCCACUCCAGGGCGCUGUGUUGACACCUCUGGCCCCGGGGGUGCCUAGUCCAGGGGUAAGUGGGAAAACCCUGUACAUAGGAAAAAUGGUCAUUUAUAUGUAAUUCAAGAUAAGCACUUUUUUUUUUUUAAGUUUAAAACACCAAUUAAACAUGCUGUCCUUUAGACAUAAAAAGGAA